CUUCCUGAACAACUAACUUCAAGGUUGUUAGGUUCUUCAAGGAUUGUUGACAGCAUGGAUGGUAAAAGAUCCUCAUCCAGGGCUGGCUAAAAGGCAUAGACCAUGUAGCCAGUCGCCUGAAGCGCCAGUUUCUAGUUGUCCCCACGCUGGUCGCCCUCAGAAGGCAAGGCAAGAAAGAAAGAAAUACCCUUUGCACCCCUGUUCCUUUGCGUCUCACAACUGGCCUGCACUUGUUGUGUACUGUGCACACUGAAGUGGAGGAUUACCAUUUGAUUAGCAUCACAGACAGCGUGCUCCAGAGACUGCCAGAGAUUGCUAGACUGACUGACACUGCUGAACAGAUGUCAGGAUCUAUUUUCAUAUUUUAUAUGAUAGUGAAAAGGUCUGAGCCUUCAGGUGCGCAAGGAAGGAAAUGGAGAAAAGAUGAAAAGGGUAUGAGACCAAAGGAGUACUGGAAAAUGCCACGUCCGUGGAAGAGAGGCAGCGAGAUACCCAUGAUGCUUUGCAGCCGUUCCUGUAUCCAACGAAGCCAGGCCCCUCUGCUCUUACCCGUGCUCCAUGGCCAUUUUGAUGAAGCCUUUCUUCUUGGCCAAGAGUACAUUGUAG